GAUGAACGCUGGCGGCGUGCCUAAUACAUGCAAGUCGAGCGAAUGGAUUAAGAGCUUGCUCUUAUGAAGUUAGCGGCGGACGGGUGAGUAACACGUGGGUAACCUGCCCAUAAGACUGGGAUAACUCCGGGAAACCGGGGCUAAUACCGGAUAACAUUUUGAACCGCAUGGUUCGAAAUUGAAAGGCGGCUUCGGCUGUCACUUAUGGAUGGACCCGCGUCGCAUUAGCUAGUUGGUGAGGUAACGGCUCACCAAGGCAACGAUGCGUAGCCGACCUGAGAGGGUGAUCGGCCACACUGGGACUGAGACACGGCCCAGACUCCUACGGGAGGCAGCAGUAGGGAAUCUUCCGCAAUGGACGAAAGUCUGACGGAGCAACGCCGCGUGAGUGAUGAAGGCUUUCGGGUCGUAAAACUCUGUUGUUAGGGAAGAACAGGUGCUAGUUGAAUAAGCUGGCACCUUGACGGUACCUAACCAGAAAGCCACGGCUGACUACGUGCCAGCCGCCGCCGUAA
rnacentral:rRNA from 1 species